UAGGGAAUCUUCCGCAAUGGACGCAAGUCUGACGGAGCAACGCCGCGUGAGUGAAGAAGGAUUUCGGUUCGUAAAACUCUGUUGUUAGAGAAGAACAGCGCAUAGAGUAACUGUUAUGCGUGUGACGGUAUCUAACCAGAAAGCCACGGCUAACUACGUGCCAGCAGCCGCGGUAAUACGUAGGUGGCUAGCGUUGUCCGGAUUUAUUGGGCGUAAAGCGAGCGCAGGCGGUCAAUUAAGUCUGAUGUGAAAGCCCCCGGCUCAACCGGGGAGGGUCAUUGGAAACUGGUUGACUUGAGUGCAGAAGAGGAGAGUGGAAUUCCAUGUGUAACGGUGAAAUGCGUAGAUAUAUGGAGGAACACCAGUGGCGAAGGCGACUCUCUGGUCUGUAACUGACGCUGAGGUUCGAAAGCGUGGGUAGCAAACAGG
rnacentral:rRNA from 1 species